GAUUCUGGCUCAGAAUGAACGCUGGCGGCAUGCCUAACACAUGCAAGUCGAACGAAGGCUUCGGCCUUAGUGGCGCACGGGUGCGUAACGCGUGGGAAUCUGCCCCUUGGUUCGGAAUAACAGUUAGAAAUGACUGCUAAUACCGGAUGAUGACGUAAGUCCAAAGAUUUAUCGCCGAGGGAUGAGCCCGCGUAGGAUUAGCUAGUUGGUGUGGUAAGAGCGCACCAAGGCGACGAUCCUUAGCUGGUCUGAGAGGAUGAUCAGCCACACUGGGACUGAGACACGGCCCAGACUCCUACGGGAGGCAGCAGUGGGGAAUAUUGGACAAUGGGCGAAAGCCUGAUCCAAGCAAUGCCGCGUGAGUGAUGAAGGCCUUAGGGUUGUAAAGCUCUUUUACCCGGGAUGAUUAAUGACAGUACCGGGAGAAUAAGCUCCGGCUAACUCCGUGCCAGCAGCCGC
rnacentral:rRNA from 1 species